rnacentral:rRNA from 1 species
AGUGAACGCUGGCGGCGUGCCUAAUACAUGCAAGUCGAACGAAGUGGCGCACGGGUGAGUAAUAUAUAGUUAAUCUGCCCUACACAGAGGAACAACAGUUGGAAACGACUGCUAAUACCUCAUAGUGUAGGAUGGGACUAUAUCGUAUCAGCUAGUUGGUAAGGUAAUGGCGUACCAAGGCUAUGACGCGUAACUGGUCUGAGAGGAUGGGCAGUGACAUUUGAACUGAGACACGGUCCAGACUCCUACGGGAGGGAGCAAAAAGGAAUAUAGCACAAUGGGGGAAGCCCUGACGCAGCAACGCCGCGUGGGGGAUGACACUUGUCGGAGAGUAAACUCCUUUUAUCAGGAAAGCGGUACCUGAUGAGUAAGCACCGGCUAACUCCGUGCCAGCAGCCGCGGUAAUAC